rnacentral:rRNA from 1 species
UACGAAGGGGCUAGCGUUGUUCGGAAUCACUGGGCGUAAAGCGCACGUAGGCGGAUCUUUAAGUCAGGGGUGAAAUCCCGAGGCUCAACCUCGGAACUGCCUUUGAUACUGGGGAUCUCGAGUCCGGGAGAGGUGAGUGGAACUGCGAGUGUAGAGGUGAAAUUCGUAGAUAUUCGCAAGAACACCAGUGGCGAAGGCGGCUCACUGGCCCGGAACUGACGCUGAGGUGCGAAAGCGUGGGGAGCAACAGG